CAUUCCUGCCGGCUCCAAGCACGCAGUCCUUAAACCCCAGUGCCGGAACCGUCCUUCCCGCCCCCUCAGAGAUGCCUACUGUGUGCUGAGCAUCAGUCAGGCACUCCAUGUACACCAUCCCAUGCGGGGUUUCUGAUGGAAGAGGAGAAAACGGGGUGCUGACCUUAUUCAUGUUAACACACACUUAUUCUGUGCCACACCUGGCCAGGUGCAGAGACAAGCGAGACCGAUGGUCAGCGUGCUUCCUUCCAGCUAAUUAAGACACUGUGUGUUGGUCCCAGCCUGGAGUUUCUGCUCAGUACCUGAUGGGGGGAGCCCUCCCUGGCAAGCUCCUUACAGCAUUCUUGUGAAAAAAUGCUCUUUGGAGAAACAGAGAGAAUUUCCAUCGCUGGGAAGCUGUGUGGAAUCAGCCCCCUCUCCGUCCCCUCCAGUGACCUGUCUGUGUUGGCAGCAGGGCACAUGCCCACCUUCUACCCUCACCCAUGACCCCAAUCUGGAAGAUCCUCCAAGAUUCAAAGAGGAUGGGGAGGUUCAGAGCCGGCUGGGAAGCGAGGCAGGGCCAUUGCAGGGAGAGGUACCAGCCCGGGACAGCUUCUGGAAGCCAUCUUGUCCCUACUGGCUUGCUCUGUCUUCUCCAUCCUCCCUUCUCUCCAGACACCGGAUCUUCACAUCAUUCCCCACCCCCACGACGCCUAUGCUAGUGGGGCCAUGGGCCCAGCCUCCCCUCAGGCAUCAUGGAGGACACUCCAAGCAUGGAUGGCGUGCACGCAGGCCUGGCCGUUCACAGAUGUGUAGGACUUGCGUGAGCAAGGAAGGAGAUAAAGAAACUGAGGCACAGAGAAGUUGGGUAAGUGACCCAUGGACAGACAGUUCUUUGUUAGAACAAUCAGACGUGCCAACUCCAGAUGGACGCCGUUGAGAAGGAGAAACCCGGCGGCUCCCUGCAUCGGUUCAAUCAUACGUGUAGGAGAAGAAGCUUCUCGUCAACUCUUUGGUUACGCUGAGGCGCGGUACACGGGCAAAGCAGGACAAAUCCUGGAUUUUCCCCUCUCAUUUAUCAGUCUUCAAAGUAAUAAAUGGGAUGGUUUUCAUGCUCUAAAA